GAAAACAACAGUGAUUCCCUAAGUAGUGGCGAGCGAACGGGGAACAGCCCAAACCGUACCCUACGGGGUGCGGGGUAGUAGGACCUGUAUAAGUUACGCGCAUUUAAAUCGAAGCUGCCUGGAAAGCAGCGCCACAGAAGGUGAAAGCCCUGUAGGUGUACGAUGCGAGUAAUGACGGGUAUCCUGAGUAGCGCGAGGCCGGUGAAACCUUGCGUGAAUUGGCCGGCACCAUCCGGUAAGGCUAAAUACAUCUACAUGACCGAUAGUGAACUAGUACCGUGAGGGAAAGGUGAAAAGAACGCCGAGAA
rnacentral:rRNA from 11 species